rnacentral:tRNA from 1 species
GGCGCCAUCGUCUAGUGGUUAGGANNAGGUUUUCAUCCUGGUAACAGGGGUCCGAUUCCCCUUGGCGCUACCA